rnacentral:rRNA from 1 species
AUUGAACGCUGGCGGCAUGCUUUACACAUGCAAGUCGAACGGUAACAGGCCGCAAGGUGCUGACGAGUGGCGAACGGGUGAGUAAUGCAUCGGAACGUGCCCAGUCGUCGGGGAUAACUACUCGAAAGAGUAGCUAAUACCGCAUACGAUCUAUGGAUGAAAGCGGGGGACCGUAAGGCCUCGCGCGAUUGGAGCGGCCGAUGUCAGAUUAGGUAGUUGGUGGGGUAAAGGCUCACCAAGCCAACGAUCUGUAGCUGGUCUGAGAGGACGACCAGCCACACUGGGACUGAGACACGGCCCAGACUCCUACGGGAGGCAGCAGUGGGGAAUUUUGGACAAUGGGCGCAAGCCUGAUCCAGCAAUGCCGCGUGCAGGAAGAAGGCCUUCGGGUUGUAAACUGCUUUUGUACGGAACGAAACGGCUCUGGUUAAUACCCGGGGCUAAUGACGGUACCGUAAGAAUAAGCACCGGCUAACUACGUG